rnacentral:rRNA from 1 species
GACGAACGCUGGCGGCGUGCUUAACACAUGCAAGUCGAACGGUAAGGCCCUUCGGGGUACACGAGUGGCGAACGGGUGAGUAACACGUGGGUGAUCUGCCCUGCACUUCGGGAUAAGCCUGGGAAACUGGGUCUAAUACCGGAUAGGACUCCGGACUGCAUGGUCUGGGGUGGAAAGCUUUUGCGGUGUGGGAUGGGCCCGCGGCCUAUCAGCUUGUUGGUGGGGUGAUGGCCUACCAAGGCGACGACGGGUAGCCGGCCUGAGAGGGUGACCGGCCACACUGGGACUGAGGUACGGCCCAGACUCCUACGGGAGGCAGCAGUGGGGAAUAUUGCGCAAUGGGCGCAAGCCUGAUGCAGCGACGCCGCGUGAGGGAUGACGGCCUUCGGGCUGUAAACCUCUUUCAGCAUCGACGAAGCGAAAGUGACGGUAGGUGCAGAAGAAGGACCGGCCAACUACGUGCCAGCCGCCGCCGUAA